GGUGCUGGGGAUUUGAACUCAGGUCCUCAUGCUUGCAGAGCAAGUGCUAUAUCCCUUGCUCACAUCUGACUUUUAAAAUGUGGAUUCUGGGAGCAGAAUCUCCAGCCUCGUACGUGGUGACAAGCCCUGGUCACAUCCACGCUGCAGAUUGCCUCCGAAGCGUUUCCCGGUGAUUCUGUAAAGAUCCAGGUCUCGACUCUGCUGCAAAAUGAAUGAACUGCUCAUCUCACCGGCUCGGAGCGCACCCGGGCCAAACUUCUCGCUUGGCUUUUAUGGGGCUAAUACAUCUGCAGA
rnacentral:lncRNA from 1 species